AUUGAACGCUGGCGGCAGGCUUAACACAUGCAAGUCGAGCGGAGCGAGGGUGCUUGCACCUUAGCUUAGCGGCGGACGGGUGAGUAAUGCUUAGGAAUCUGCCUAUUAGUGGGGGACAACAUUCCGAAAGGGAUGCUAAUACCGCAUACGCCCUACGGGGGAAAGCAGGGGAUCACUUGUGACCUUGCGCUAAUAGAUGAGCCUAAGUCGGAUUAGCUAGUUGGUGGGGUAAAGGCCUACCAAGGCGACGAUCUGUAGCGGGUCUGAGAGGAUGAUCCGCCACACUGGGACUGAGACACGGCCCAGACUCCUACGGGAGGCAGCAGUGGGGAAUAUUGGACAAUGGGGGGAACCCUGAUCCAGCCAUGCCGAGUGUGUGAAGAAGGCCUUUUGGUUGUAAAGCACUUUAAGCGAGGAGGAGGCGCUCUAGGAUAAUACCCUAGAUGCGUGGACGUUACUCGCAGAAUAAGCACCGGCUAACUCUGUGCCAGCCGCCGCAGUAACAC
rnacentral:rRNA from 1 species